GACGAAGGGGGCUAGCGUUGUUCGGAAUUACUGGGCGUAAAGCGAGUGUAGGUGGUUGUCCAAGUUGGAUGUGAAAGCCUUGAGCUCAACUCAAGAAAUGCAUUCAGGACUGGGCGGCUAGAGGACCGGAGAGGAUAGUGGAAUUCCCAGUGUAGUGGUGAAAUACGUAGAGAUUGGGAAGAACACCAGUGGCGAAGGCAGCUAUCUGGACGGUUUCUGACACUAAGACUCGAAAGCGUGGGGAGCAAACAGG
rnacentral:rRNA from 1 species